AUUUAAAAAUCACAAGAAGAACUUCUCUGUUAUCCAGAGUUGAUAACAAAAAAAUGCAUUCUUUGGAGACUUCAUCCCAGGAAGGAGCAAGUCAGGCAUUAAUUUCCAUUUCCUGUCUCUUGUUCUCACCUUCAGGAAGUUCCCAGCACAAUCCAGAGCCCUGUGUGGACACUGAUCUCCAUAAGGACUGUUUAUUGCCGGGACCCUGCUGCACCAGAAAGAUAAGAAGGAGGAGGAAGAGGAGAAGAGAGGUGCACAAUGCCAUUACUGAGAAAAGAGCCAGCAAUUUUGAAUUCCCCAUUGGACCAGGAGCAGCAGUCCUGGUAAAUGUUCAACAACUGGCUCUGCAGGGGCAUUGAUGGAUCCCUUAACUUUCCAUGGUCUGUGGAGAUCUUCAAGUUUUUCUACUAGAAAAGCCUCAUGGCCCAGAAUUCCACAGGUCUUUCCUGGCAGAACUGUAGAUGCUGUCUUUGUCUUGUUAUCCUCUGGGACAUUGCUGGACAGGAACUCUGGUGGUAAAUGAGAAGAAAUGACACAGAUAUUUUUGGUGUGAUAUACUUACGAAGCUGUUGCUAUCAAGACAGUAAGAAGCCAAUCAAAUUCUGGCCACAGAGUUCAUCUCCGCAGGCUUCAGUUUUCUUGUCAGCAAAUCAAGAAGAUAGAGCUAGAUAACUUUCAUCAUUCCUUAUAGAUCCAAUUUAUGAGAAUUUCCCAAAUUAAAUUAAAAAACUG
rnacentral:lncRNA from 1 species